rnacentral:tRNA from 1 species
GGAUUGUGGCUUAGGGGUAGAGCACUCACCUAGCACGUGUGGGGCCCUGGGUUCGAUCCUCAGCACCA